GGAGCUUGCUCCAGCGAGUCAGCGGCGGACGGGUGAGUAACACGUGGGCAACCUGCCUGUAAGACUGGGAUAACUCCGGGAAACCGGAGCUAAUACCGGAUAGUAUCUUGAACCGCAUGGUUCAAGUUGGAAAGACGGUUUCGGCUGUCACUUACAGAUGGGCCCGCGGCGCAUUAGCUAGUUGGUGAGGUAAUGGCUCACCAAGGCAACGAUGCGUAGCCGACCUGAGAGGGUGAUCGGCCACACUGGGACUGAGACACGGCCCAGACUCCUACGGGAGGCAGCAGUAGGGAAUCUUCCGCAAUGGACGAAAGUCUGACGGAGCAACGCCGCGUGAGUGAUGAAGGUUUUCGGAUCGUAAAACUCUGUUGUUAGGGAAGAACAAGUGCGAGAGUAACUGCUCGCACCUUGACGGUACCUAACCAGAAAGCCACGGCUAACUACGUGCCAGCAGCCGCGGUAAUACGUAGGUGGCAAGCGUUGUCCGGAAUUAUUGGGCGUAAAGCGCGCGCAGGCGGUUUCUUAAGUCUGAUGUGAAAGCCCCCGGCUCAACCGGGGAGGGUCAUUGGAAACUGGGGAAC
rnacentral:rRNA from 1 species